GUUUAUAUAAUUUAAAUAAGAUAUUAGACUGUGACUCUAACUAUGAGAGUUAAAACCCCUCUAUAAACC
rnacentral:tRNA from 1 species